GCCUGGGUAGCUCAGUCAGUUGAGCAUCUGACUUCAGCUCAGGUCAUGAUCUCGUGGUCUGUGAGUUCGAGCCCCGUGUCAGGCU
rnacentral:tRNA from 1 species